AGUGCUUGCACUAAAUGAAACUAGAUACAAGCGAGCGGCGGACGGGUGAGUAACACGUGGGUAACCUGCCCAAGAGACUGGGAUAACACCUGGAAACAGAUGCUAAUACCGGAUAACAACACUAGACGCAUGUCUAGAGUUUGAAAGAUGGUUCUGCUAUCACUCUUGGAUGGACCUGCGGUGCAUUAGCUAGUUGGUAAGGUAACGGCUUACCAAGGCAAUGAUGCAUAGCCGAGUUGAGAGACUGAUCGGCCACAUUGGGACUGAGACACGGCCCAAACUCCUACGGGAGGCAGCAGUAGGGAAUCUUCCACAAUGGACGAAAGUCUGAUGGAGCAACGCCGCGUGAGUGAAGAAGGGUUUCGGCUCGUAAAGCUCUGUUGGUAGUGAAGAAAGAUAGAGGUAGUAACUGGCCUUUAUUUGACGGUAAUUACUUAGAAAGUCACGGCUAACUACGUGCCAGCAGCCGCGGUAAUACGUAGGUGGCAAGCGUUGUCCGGAUUUAUUGGGCGUAAAGCGAGUGCAGGCGGUUCAAUAAGUCUGAUGUGAAAGCCUUCGGCUCAACCGGAGAAUUGCAUCAGAAACUGUUGAACUUGAGUGCAGAAGAGGAGAGUGGAACUCCAUGUGUAGCGGUGGAAUGCGUAGAUAUAUGGAAGAACACCAGUGGCGAAGGCGGCUCUCUGGUCUACAACUGACGCUGAGGCUCGAAAGCAUGGGUAGCGAACAGGAUUAGAUACCCUGGUAGUCCAUGCCGUAAACGAUGAGUGCUAAUUGUUGGGAGGUUUUCCGCCUCUCA
rnacentral:rRNA from 1 species